rnacentral:rRNA from 1 species
AGAGUUUGAUCCUGGCUCAGAACGAACGCUGGCGGCGCGUCUUAAGCAUGCAAGUCGAACGGUAAGGGAGAGCUUGCUCUCCCCUAGAGUGGCGGACUGGUGAGUAACGCGUGGGUGACCUGCCCUGAAGAUGGGGAUAGCUAGUAGAAAUAUUAGAUAAUACCGAAUGUGCUCAUUUACAUAAAGGUGAAUGAGGAAAGGAGCUACGGCUCCGCUUCAGGAUGGGCCCGCGUCCCAUUAGCUGGUUGGUGAGGUAAAGGCCCACCAAGGCAACGAUGGGUAUCCGACCUGAGAGGGUGAUCGGCCACAUUGGAACUGAGACACGGUCCAGACUCCUGCGGGAGGCAGCAGUGGGGAAUAUUGCACAAUGGGGGAAACCCCGAUGCAGCAACGCCGCGUGAAGGAAGAAGGCCUUUGGGUCGUAAACUUCUGUCCUUGGGGAAGAAAAAAAUGACGGUACCCUUGGAGGAAGCCCCGGCUAACUACGUGCCAGCAGCCGCGGU